GCGAAAUGCGGCCAGCUUGGACUGAGGUCCGCGCUUCGGCUAGGAUGCUGGCGUAAUGGUUGUAAGCGGCCCGUCUUGAAACACGGACCAAGGAGUCUAACAUCUGUGCGAGUGUUUGGGUGUCAAACCCGUACGCGUAAUGAAAGUGAACGGAGGCGGGAACCUCUCGGGGUGCACCGUCGACCGAUCCCGAUGUCUUCGGAUGGAUUUGAGUAAGAGCAUAGCUGUUGGGACCCGAAAGAUGGUGAACUAUGCCUGAAUAGGGUGAAGCCAGAGGAAACUCUGGUGGAGGCUCGCAGCGGUUCUGACGUGCAAAUCGAUCGUCAAAUUUGGGCAUAGGGGCGAAAGACUAAUCGAACUAUCUAGUAGCUGGUUCCUGCCGAAGUUUCCCUCAGGAUAGCAGUAACGUUUUCAGUUUUAUGAGGUAAAGCGAAUGAUUAGAGGCCUGGGGGUUGAAACAACCUUCACCUAUUCUCAAACUUUAAAUAUGUAAGAAGUCCUUGUUGCUUAGUUGAACGUGGACAUUUGAAUGUAUCGUUACUAGUGGGCCAUUUUUGGUAAGCAGAACUGGCGAUGCGGGAUGAACCGAACGCGGAGUUAAGGUGCCGGAAUGCACGCUCAUCAGACACCACAAAAGGUGUUAGUUCAUCUAG
rnacentral:rRNA from 1 species